AUUGAACGCUGGCGGCAUGCCUUACACAUGCAAGUCGAACGGCAGCAUGGAAGAGCUUGCUCUUCUGAUGGCGAGUGGCGAACGGGUGAGUAAAGCAUCGGAACGUACCGUGUAGUGGGGGAUAACGUAGCGGAAGUUACGCUAAUACCGCAUACGCACUGAGGUGGAAAGCAGGGGAUCGAAAGACCUUGCGCUAUACGAGCGGCCGAUGUCAGAUUAGCUAGUUGGUAGGGUAAAGGCCUACCAAGGCGACGAUCUGUAGCGGGUCUGAGAGGAUGAUCCGCCACACUGGGACUGAGACACGGCCCAGACUCCUACGGGAGGCAGCAGUGGGGAAUUUUGGGACAAUGGGCGAAAGCCUGAUCCAGCCAUGCCGCGUGAAGGAUGAAGGCGCUCAGCGUUGUAAACUUCUUUUGUACGGGACAAAAUGCGACCUGCGGGUUGUACUGAGGGUACCGUAAGAAUAAGCACCGGCUAACUCCGUGCCAG
rnacentral:rRNA from 1 species